UUUUAAAGAUGAGUGCUUGAAGAAUAAAUCUUUUUCAGUGACAGUAGGCACAGCUUGAUAAAAUUCAGGUUUAUUUUCAUACUGCUAUAAUAAGGGGCUGUAGUCUGAUUAAUUCUUUAAAUUACUGAAGAAUUAAAAAACUGAGAACAAAUUGCACUUCUUAAGGCAAUUCCCAAGGUUUAGUGGUAUUCCUGUUAAUAUGCUUGAUUAUUCUAUUUCUGCUUUUCAAUCCAUCGUCUUCUCUUUGACAGCAGAAUUAAUUGGGACUCCUCCUUUAAUAUAUCUGAGGUCAAGUGCCUUUGCCUGUCCCUUUAAGACACUUAUGAUCUUGUUUACCAGUCCUAAUUUAUCAUUUUUGUAUUUGGUCUUCCACUUGACGUUGAGUGGUUUGUCACACCCUGUGUUAUGACUUAGACCAAGCUAGUUCCCUUCUUAGUAGUUACUGAGGAAUUAACCAUUUGUGGUGAAAGGCUUCUAAAA
rnacentral:lncRNA from 1 species